UCCGUUAUGGUGAAGUGGCAUUAUCGCCUCAUUGAUGUAUAGCUGGUCAGUUGUUUGCGCGAUAGCCCAGGGUUCGAUUCCCUGUAACGGAA